UAACAAGGUCUCCGUUGGUGAACCAGCGGAGGGAUCAUUACUGAGUUUACGCUCUACAACCCUUUGUGAACAUACCUAUAACUGUUGCUUCGGCGGGUAGGGUCUCCGUGACCCUCCCGGCCUCCCGCCCCCGGGCGGGUCGGCGCCCGCCGGAGGAUAACCAAACUCUGAUUUAACGACGUUUCUUCUGAGUGGUACAAGCAAAUAAUCAAAACUUUUAACAACGGAUCUCUUGGUUCUGGCAUCGAUGAAGAACGCAGCGAAAUGCGAUAAGUAAUGUGAAUUGCAGAAUUCAGUGAAUCAUCGAAUCUUUGAACGCACAUUGCGCCCGCCAGCAUUCUGGCGGGCAUGCCUGUUCGAGCGUCAUUUCAACCCUCAAGCUCUGCUUGGUGUUGGGGCCCUACAGCUGAUGUAGGCCCUCAAAGGUAGUGGCGGACCCUCCCGGAGCCUCCUUUGCGUAGUAACUUUACGUCUCGCACUGGGAUCCGGAGGGACUCUUGCCGUAAACCCCCAAUUUUCCAAAGGUUGACCUCGGAUCAGGUAGGAAUACCCGC
rnacentral:rRNA from 1 species